rnacentral:rRNA from 1 species
GAGUUUGAUCAUGGCUCAGAACGAACGCUGGCGGCGCGUCUUAAGCAUGCAAGUCGAACGGCAAGAAAGGAGCUUGCUCCUUUCCUAGAGUGGCGGACUGGUGAGGAACACGUGGGUAAUCUACCCUUGAGAUGGGGAUAGCCGUUAGAAAUAGCGGGUAAUACCGAAUACACUUAUUAUUUCACAAGAGAUAGUAAGGAAAGGAAGCUACGGCUUCGCUCGAGGAUGAGCCUGCGUCCCAUUAGCUAGUUGGUGAGGUAACGGCUCACCAAGGCAACGAUGGGUAUCCGGCCUGAGAGGGUGAUCGGACACAUUGGGACUGAGAUACGGCCCAAACUCCUACGGGAGGCAGCAGCUAAGAAUAUUCCGCAAUGGACGGAAGUCUGACGGAGCGACGCCGCGUGGAUGAAGAAGGCUGAAAAGUUGUAAAAUCCUUUUGUUGAUGAAGAAUAAGGAUAAGAGGGAAUGCUUAUCUGA